rnacentral:rRNA from 1 species
UACGGGGGGGGCAAGCGUUGUCCGGAUUUAUUGGGCGUAAAGAGCGUGUAGGCGGUUAGGUAGGUCCGUUGUGAAAACUCGAGGCUCAACCUCGAGACGCCGAUGGAAACCAUCUGACUAGAGUCCGGAAGAGGAGAGUGGAAUUCCUGGUGUAGCGGUGAAAUGCGCAGAUAUCAGGAAGAACACCCGUGGCUAAGGCGGCUCUCUAGUACGGUACUGACGCUGAGACGCGAAAGCGUGGGGAGCGAACAGG